UGUGGCUGGGGGUGAAAGGCCAAUCAAACCGGGAGAUAGCUGGUUCUCCCCGAAAGCUAUUUAGGUAGCGCCUCGUGAAUUCAUCUCCGGGGGUAGAGCACUGUUUCGGCUAGGGGGCCAUCCCGGCUUACCAACCCGAUGCAAACUGCGAAUACCGGAGAAUGUUAUCACGGGAGACACACGGCGGGUGCUAACGUCCGUCGUGAAGAGGGAAACAACCCAGACCGCCAGCUAAGGUCCCAAAGUCAUGGUUAAGUGGGAAACGAUGUGGGAAGGCCCAGACAGCCAGGAUGUUGGCUUAGAAGCAGCCAUCAUUUAAAGAAAGCGUAAUAGCUCACUGGUCGAGUCGGCCUGCGCGGAAGAUGUAACGGGGCUAAACCAUGCACCGAAGCUGCGGCAGCGAACGUAUCACUUAAAGCGAUUCAGCGGGUUACGAUUGACGGAGCGAAGCGACGUCAAAGCGUAUACAAAGUCGAGUCGGUUUAAGGAUACGUUCGUUGGGUAGGGGAGCGUUCUGUAAGCCUGCGAAGGUGGCCUGUGAGGGUUGCUGG
rnacentral:rRNA from 1 species